UGAAAUGAUAGGACUGACUUUAAAACCUUCUGAAGUUAUCAACAAAAGGCAAAACUGAAGUCAGUGGAUUUAGUGGAAGCAGGCACUAAACUGAUGAAGUAUGAAGGUGCUACUUGAAAAUACAUGAGGGAGCCUUUUGGCAUGGAGUUCCUUCUUGGCCAGGCUUCAGGAGGUAUCUGCUGGAAUUCAUCAUCAGGAGGCUGCUCUGUGCAUUUUGCUGGACAACAUAUGCACAAAAAUAUUUUCAAACUAAAUGCAGAUGGUUCUAAUCCACUGAUAAUUCAAUCUACAUGCAUCCCAAGCUUUAACAUGAACCAAGCCAUCUGUAAAAUGUUAGUUACAUUAGGAGACACAAAUUCACAAGUCUAGUUUUUUACAAGAGCUGAGCCAAUCAAUGUGACGUUAUUUCUUUGAUCUGCAUGUUUUCUGGAGUAAUGGCAAGAAACCAAAAGUCACCACAAAAUCAGUCCAAGCCAUAAUGCAGCCUUAAAACUACUGGGCACUCUGAUUAGGGGUUUUGCUGCUGAUAGAAUGUCUCAGUUCACCACAUGCAUUCCAGUGGUGAAUCAGAUUUUUUUUUUUCUGCAGAAACAAACUUAGAGGAUAAAUGGUGCUUGCAAUCAUUUAGCAAGCUGUAAGAAUACUAAAAAGGUAUUUUCACCAUCCUACAUUUAUUAACUUGAGAGCAAACUAAGUAGGAAUGUGCAUGCUCCUUCUGCAGUUGGUGAGCAUUUUGAUUUUCCUUUGUGACAUUGUUUUUUGUAAUGAACAGAGAAACUAGUACCAUCCACCAAACUACUCUCCAAGCCUUGGGGAAGGACAGAAGCCCUUGAUAAGAGCAUGAGACUACACACUAAGGUGACCCAAAUGUAGUUUUUCACUUGCUGCCUGAGGUAUGCUUGUGUUUUCAGUAGUAUCCCUUUUCCACAUAUGGGCCCAAGAGGCAUAGGAAACCUGUCACUGCAGACAAACUUUUAUUGUUUCCUUUACCUGAAACUCAAAUAUUCUAAACAGUGAUGGUUUCAUUUUGAUGACAAACCAACAUCUACAAAUGCCUGAUGCUGCUGCUUGCCUUCUCAGCUUUGUUGUCAUUUGUCUUCUCCUCCGCAAACCAGAAUACCAGUUACUUCUCCCACACUGUUAAAAGAUGUGAGGCAACUCUAUCCCUUGAUCCACACCAGCAGUGUGAUGUGCCAUUGAAGAAUGAAUGGAAAUGGUCUUACCCAGGUAUGUCAUCAGUACAACUAACCCUCCAGAUAGUUGCAGCUCUAAAGUAUGGUGGUUGUGUGAAAUAAGAUGGAAGGGACAAGACCAAAAAAGAAAGCCCUUUCAGUGCAGAUCUCUUGGGCUGCAAAACAUUACUUUAAGCACAAAAUAUAACAGAACAGCUAAUGUGGUGAGCCAGGAAAAAUAAGAGGAAUAGAUCAUCUUCCUCCUUCUUAUGUUAUCACCCGUUCUUUCCCAACAAGAAAGUUGACAGUCUUUAUGGAAAGAACAUUUAAAUCAGAUUUUGAUCUCUAUAAAUUUUAACAGCUGGAACAGUAAAAAAUAGAACAGCUCACAGUUGGUUUCUAUAUGAAGAAAUGCUGGAGAUAUCUCUAAAUCCUUUGAUUUGGCAGAGAAAAGCAGUAUGUAUUGCCAAUAUACUCUGAUGCAUCUUUUAUUCAGAAAGAAAGAGUCAUUCGUUAUCAUGUAUACUUCAACCACAGCAUGCAGAGAAAAGGGGAGGAAAUCUUUAGAAGUCUUCCAUGGGAGCAGGGAGAGCAUCACACCUUUGAAGUAACCGGGGCUGUUAGGAACAUUCUUGAUUAAAUCUGAAACAAAGAACGACCGGUUGUGAACUGAGACUGGAACAGGGAAUCAGCCUGGCAGGGCAGUCUGAGCCAAAAAAAAGAAAGUCCUUACAUUGCAGAGCAGAAAAGUAUAUGGUAAAAGAAUUAGCAGGGUAAAUAGAAAAAACACUAAGAAGUCCAGCUUCGAAAAGGACUGGGUUGCCUGAUUAGAAAUGUGGUAAAGGGUUCUACAGAGCAUAUGACAACUGUGUACUCAGCACAAUGUGUAGGAAGAGUAAGAAAAAUUGCCAUGUAAGAAUGUUCAUCAUAACAGCAGAACUGGAGAAUUUGCUCAAAAACAACAAUAAACUAUGCUAUUCAUAACA
ensembl:lncRNA